UACGGAGGGAGCUAGCGUUGUUCGGAAUUACUGGGCGUAAAGCGCACGUAGGCGGCUUUGUAAGUUAGAGGUGAAAGCCCCGGAGCUCAACUCCGGAACUGCCUUUAAGACUGCAUCGCUUGAAUCCAGGAGAGGUGAGUGGAAUUCCGAGUGUAGAGGUGAAAUUCGUAGAUAUUCGGAAGAACACCAGUGGCGAAGGCGGCU
rnacentral:rRNA from 1 species